rnacentral:rRNA from 1 species
UACAGAGGUCUCAAGCGUUGUUCGGAUUCAUUGGGCGUAAAAGGGCUCGUAGGUGGCCAACUAAGUCAGACGUGAAAUCCCUCAGCUUAACUGGGGAACUGCGUCUGAUACUGGAUGGCUUGAGUUUGGGAGAGGGAUGCGGAAUUCCAGAUGUAGCGGUGAAAUGCGUAGAUAUCUGGAGGAACACCGGUGGCGAAGGCGGCAUCCUGGACCAACACUGACACUGGAGGAGCGAAAGCCAGGGGAGCAAACGGG